UAACAUAUCAAGGUAAGACCCUGUAGUA
rnacentral:piRNA from 1 species